rnacentral:rRNA from 1 species
AUUGAACGCUGGCGGCAGGCCUAACACAUGCAAGUCGAGCGGAUGAAGGGAGCUUGCUCCUGGAUUCAGCGGCGGACGGGUGAGUAAUGCCUAGGAAUCUGCCUGGUAGUGGGGGAUAACGUCCGGAGACGGGCGCUAAUACCGCAUACGUCCUGAUGGCGAAAGAGGGGGAUCUUCGGACCUCACGCUAUCAGAUGAGCCUAGGUCGGAUUAGCUAGUUGGUGGGGUAAAGGCCUACUAAGGCGACGAUCCGUAACUGGUCUGAGAGGAUGAUCAGUCACACUGGAAGUGAGACACGGUCCAGACUCCUACGGGAGGCCGCAGUGGGGAAUAUUGGACAAUGGGCGAAAGCCUGAUCCAGCCAUGCCGCGUGUGUGAAGAAGGUCUUCGGAUUGUAAAGCACUUUAAGUUGGGAGGAAGGGCAGUAAGUUAAGACCUUGCUGUUUUGACGUUACCAACAGAAGAAGCACCGGCUAACUUCGUG